UACCAGCACCCCGAGUGGUCGGGACGUUUAUUGGGCCUAAAGCAUCCGUAGCCGGUUCUACAAGUCUUCCGUUAAAUCCAUCUGCUUAACAGAUGGGCUGCGGAAGAUACUAUAGAGCUAGGAGGCGGGAGAGGCAAGCGGUACUCGAUGGGUAGGGGUAAAAUCCGUUGAUCCAUUGAAGACCACCAGUGGCGAAGGCGGCUUGCCAGAACGCGCUCGACGGUGAGGGAUGAAAGCUGGGGGAGCAAACAGG
rnacentral:rRNA from 1 species